rnacentral:tmRNA from 1 species
CCCCUUGAUCCGAAGCGCCGGACAGCUUACAUCUGUUGCGUUCCCGUUCGGGGACUAUGGCGAUAAACGCGCACGUAAUAAGCGGAUCGGACCCGGGGGCGGUACCCGGCGGCUCCACCAAUUCUCCCUCGUUGGGGGCAUCAGGGGCCGAAACAGGAUCGACGAACGUCUAAAGGUGUCAGCUUUCGCCCGGUGAGGUACCACCGUUAUCGGUCCGCAAAGUACAGUUGCCAACGACAACCGUGCUCCGGUGGCCGUUGCUGCGUAAGCAGUAACAACACCGAAACUUAAGCCCUGGCGUCUAGCAACGUCAGGCGGGGUUCGCAGGCACCUGGCAACAGAAGCCUGCACU